rnacentral:tRNA from 2 species
GGUAAUGUAGCUCUGUGGUAGAGCACUUGCCUUACAAGUAGGAGAUCCUGGGUUUGAUCCAUAGUACCA